AGAAAUUCUCUUUGCUUCCUUAUUUGCUUCAGUUCCAUGAAGAUAACCACAACCAAGAAUAAGACUCAAGAUUACUUAUAUGAAUACAUAAAUAUCCAGCACCAGAAAAAUACAACUCACAAUGCCUGGCAUUUAGUCAAAAAUACCAGGCAUAGAAAGAGUAUGGCUCAUGAUGAAGAACAAGUCAACCAAAACUAACUCAGAACUGACACAGAUAUUAAAAUUAGGGACAAGAACAUAAAGGCCUAUAAACAGUUAUUAUAACUACAAUCAAAAACCAGAAGAAAACUUUAACAUAGAAGUAGAAGUAGAAACACAGAGUCAUUUUUAAAAGGCCCAUGGGAAAAAAAAAAACUUCUAGUGAUGAAAACUAUAAUAUCUGAGAGGAAACAUGGGUCACAUGAGAUUAACAAAAGGUUAGACACCAAAGUAGAAAAGAGAAAAGAAUUUGAAGACAUAGCAAUAGAAAAUACUCAAAAUGAAAUGCAGAAUAUACUCAAAAAGUGAACAACACCAUGAACCAGGAACAACUUCCAGUAAUCUAAAAGAUAUUGCAUCUGAGGCCCCAAAUCAAGAGGAUAUUGAGAUGUAGUGGCACCCCCUCUUCCCCAAAAAAAUCUUAACUGGGCUUCUGCAGAAAUCUUCACCAUGGCUGAUUUUAGGACUGUCAUCAAAAGAAUCUCUACAAAAGAGUUCAAUGUAGAUAAACUUCCUAUUUUCAUGUUGCCUUAUUUUACUUAGCUGCUAACCUGGAAGAAAUUGGGACUCCAGGUGCUGGACACCCCUUACUAGUUUUUCACAAACAUUUAUCCAGUAGGGUUGUUUGUAGAAAUAUGAAAAUGAGACCUCUGGCCUUGAGUUGGAUUUCACAAAGAUGUCUACAUUUCUAAGAUAAGAGAAGUUACCAACUGGGCUCCAUGGUAAUAGCUCGAGGGGGAGGAAAGAGAGAGGAGAAGAAACUCUCCUUCUCAGGUGUUGUCCUUGAAGGGUUAACUUGCCCAGAACGGUGAAAGAAAAAGCUGCUUUUUUUUUCUAUAAAAGUGACUAUAUUAUUUAAAUACCCAUUUUAAAGCAAACAAACAGUAUUAAGCCCUACUUCACAGGGUUCAAAAAAUUAAUUUGAGAUAGGUUCACAGACAUAUAAAUGAAAAUGAGAAAUUAUACCCCAUUUGAUUCAAAUGUAUGAUAUGUCAAGAUCAUUGUAUUGUCAUGAGCAACUAAUAAAAAAGUGAUGUUUAAGAGAAUGUUUAAUGAAUGCAAAAAUGCAUGAAGUUUAUAAAGAUUUAAAGAAUGAUUCAGACCUGUAUAAAUAUCUGAUCUCAACUAUGAAUG
rnacentral:lncRNA from 1 species